CUACGUGCCAGCAGCCGCGGUAAUACGGAGGGUGCAAGCGUUAAUCGGAAUUACUGGGCGUAAAGCGCACGCAGGCGGUCUGUCAAGUCGGAUGUGAAAUCCCCGGGCUCAACCUGGGAACUGCAUUCGAAACUGGCAGGCUAGAGUCUUGUAGAGGGGGGUAGAAUUCCAGGUGUAGCGGUGAAAUGCGUAGAGAUCUGGAGGAAUACCGGUGGCGAAGGCGGCCCCCUGGACAAAGACUGACGCUCAGGUGCGAAAGCGUGGGGAGCAAACAGGAUUAGAUACCCUAGUAGUCCACGCCGUAAACGAUGUCGACUUGGAGGUUGUGCCCUUGAGGCGUGGCUUCCGGAGCUAACGCGUUAAGUCGACCGCCUGGGGAGUACGGCCGCAAGGUUAAAACUCAAAUGAAUUGACGGGGGCCCGCACAAGCGGUGGAGCAUGUGGUUUAAUUCGACGCAACGCGAAGAACCUUACCAGGUCUUGACAU
rnacentral:rRNA from 1 species